rnacentral:misc_RNA from 1 species
GUAUGGGAAUCUCUACAGCCAGGGCUAUGGCGUCAACACAGCCGCCCUCAGUACUGCUCUCUUCAACAAUGGCUUAAGCUGUGGUGCUUGCUUCGAGAUCAAGUGUGCUAAUGACCCUAGAUGGUGCCAUCCUGGUAGCCCAUCCAUUUUCAUUACAGCUACCAAUUUUUGUCCCCCGAAUUUCGCACUGCCAAAUGACAAUGGCGGUUGGUGUAACCCUCCUCGUACU